rnacentral:rRNA from 1 species
UACGAAGGGGGCUAGCGUUGUUCGGAAUUACUGGGCGUAAAGCGUGCGCAGGCGGCUUCUCAAGUCAGGGGUGAAAGCCCAGAGUUCAACUCUGGAACUGCCUUUGAGACUGAGAGGCUUGAGUACGGGAGAGGUGAGUGGAAUUCCCAGUGUAGAGGUGAAAUUCGUAGAUAUCGGGAGGAACACCGGUGGCGAAGGCGGCGAUCUGGGUAGAUACUGACGCUGAGGUGCGAAAGCGUGGGGAGCAAACAGG